AAGAUGCUAGUAAAACAAUUACCCUGCCUUGUCAAGGCAGAAUUGUAGGUUAGAGCCCUGCGUAUCUUA
rnacentral:tRNA from 1 species